UGGGGAAUAUUGGGCAAUGGGGGAAACCCUGACCCAGCAACGCCGCGUGAAGGACGAAGGCCUUCGGGUUGUAAACUUCUUUGAUCAGGGACGAAACAAAUGACGGUACCUGAAGAACAAGCCACGGCUAACUACGUGCCAGCAGCCGCGGUAAUGCGUAGGUGGCAAGCGUUGUCCGGAUUUACUGGGCGUAAAGGGUGCGUAGGUGGAUGUUUAAGUCAGAUGUGAAACCCCUGGGCUCAACCCAGGACCUGCAUUUGAAACUGGACAUCUAGAGUGCGGGAGAGGUAAGUGGAAUUCCUAGUGUAGCGGUGAAAUGCGUAGAUAUUAGGAGGAACACCAGUGGCGAAGGCGGCUUACUGGACUGUAACUGACACUGAGGCUCGAAAGCGUGGGGAGC
rnacentral:rRNA from 1 species